AUCUAGAAGAGAUAUCCAUGUAGACCAUACUACCGAAGCUUGAUGGCUUUUUCUUUUUUUUUUUUUUUAAGAUUUAUUUAUUAUUAUAUGUAAGUACACCAUAACUCUCUUCCGACACCAGAAGAAGGCUUUUUCAAUAACAGGAAAAAAAAAUGUUACAAUUUGAAAGCGUUCUAUUUGGCAUUUUUUAGUAGCAGUUUUUAACUACAUCCCAAUUAUUUCUCUCAAAUAAGAUAUGCAUGGGGUAUUAUGAUUCAGUAUGAAGCCAUGGCUCAAAAAAUUUUAGGAGGUGUGCCAGAGAUUGAACUAUUGUUUACCAUGAUAAUUAAGUGGCAUACCACUGAACUAUGUACUCAGCAAUGUAUGUGUAUGUAUGUGUUGACAGUAGCUAGGCUAACAGGUCUGGAUUGUUCAACUUGGCUUAAAGCAUUUUAAAGUUGAUCACUUCCUUAUAUCAAAGUUUUGUUGGUUUUGUUUUGAUUUUUUUUAAUGAGUCAUUAUCUGCCCCAUGCUAUAAGGAUUUACAGAACUAAGUCUGAAUACCCUAACCACCAUGUGAAACUUUAGAAGGCAUUACCACACCUGGUUUAUCUUAGAGCCUCCCAUGGUUCAUGAUAUUUAUUAUGAUAAGAGACCCUCAAUAAAUACCCAUAGGUACAUAGGUAAAUUGUUGCUUUUCUUAGCUCGAUCUGUGGUAGAAGGUUAUGACAAUCCUUGGUAAGCCAUAGCAACUCCUUGGUCCAAAGAAAACUGUCUAUCCUAAUGGCCAAGUCUCUGAGUCCUGAAGAUGCUGGAGAAAUGACAACCAAGAAACCACACUGUCUUGAGUGACUACACAGAAAUAAUGCUGUCCACAGGAGAGGCAUUCCAGCUCCAGAGGGCAAAUGCCUUCUGUGAUAAAGACACUAUCUUCUGACAGUGUGAAAAGGAAAACAGCUUAAAGGAAAUCCCAUAAGGACAGCUUAGCCUGGGAUAUGCCUGGUAAAUAGAAGCCCGUCCUUAACCUUCCCAUUCUCAGAAUGGUUGCUAGGUACCUUAUGAGACAUAGCUCUGGGCCUGCAAGGAAAGCAGGGAUGCUUCAAGGUGAUGCUAAAGCUCUCAAGCAGAAAACUGCUCAGUUGCACAGCCCAUAUGUACAAAGGAGCUGAUUUAACUAUGUCCAUAGCUAACUGCAGGUACACAAAUCAUUCUAAACUCUCCUCAUUGUGAAAAUGCCAAGAGUAAGUUGGUAGUGACGACUAUAUUUUAAUUUUAAAGUAGAAGACUAAUGAAUUUGCAGAGUUCUCAAAUGGUUCAACUCAAAAUAAUUGAACCACCUAGCUGCUUUAGGGUUUUAGCAAAGGUACUUUUAAAAUAACCAACCAGAAGCUUCUCUGAAAAUAUUUUCUAAUUUAAGCAGUCAUUGAUUCAUAGCGUUGGCGGUACACAUGGCCAACAUAUUUUGCAUUACUUCAUAUACAACCCUCUCACCGAUUGAGCUGCCAUCUUGAAAGAACAAGCAUUGGCCAGUCUUGAUGAGCUCUUGAAUCUUUGUUAUCUUAGAACCAUCAGGAACAGUUUAGAAUUAUGACCAAGAUGAAAAGAACCCUGCUCUGUCUUAUUUCUGCAGUGAUGAUGCCUGUCUCGGUUGCUUGUAUGCUAAUCUCUUCAAUUAUUCUUCACAAUAAUGUGCAUGAAAUAAUUUAAAUUAAAUAACCUCUGAAAAUCAUUCAAUCUUUACAAAAUCUACACAUACAAUACUAGGAGAAUAAAAUCAACGAUUAUCUCAUUUGUCUCUUUUUAUUAAUCUGGUAUUGCACAGUACACUCGGCAAAUAAAUUAAUAUACCUGUUAAUAUUGAGAAUAAAAUCUAUUCAUCUCAAUAAAGAAUUUGUCCUGGACUGAGUUGUCCUGAGGGACUACAAUGAUUUAGUAGAUUUGCACCCAUCCUGUUAUAUGCCCAUUUUGGAUGGCUUGGCAUACGUUAAUUUUUUCAGUCAGUUUUAGAAAACAAGGUCAAAGUCCCUUCUCUCUUUUUUUUUAAAGAUUUAUUUUAUUUAAUUUUAUGUAUAUGAAUACACUGUAGCUUUACAGAUGAUUGUGAGCCUUCCUGUGGUAGUGGGGAAUUGUAUUUAGGACCUCUGGUCGCUUUGGUCAACCCUGCUCCUUCAGGCCCAAAGAUUUAUUUAUUAUUAUUAAUAAGUACACUGUAGCUGUCUUCGGACACACCAGAAGAGGGCAUCAGAUCUUAUUACCGGUGGUUGUGAGCCACCAUGUGGUUGCUGGAAUUUGAACUUGGGACCUUAAGAAGAGCAGUUGGUGCUCUUAACCGCUGAGCCCUCUCUCCAGCCCCAAAGUCCCUUCUCUUAAAGGUAAAUUAUCUGAUCUAUUGUUUUGGGUCAUCUGCCAGAGACCCUCAUCUAGGGAGAAGACCCGUGCUCCUCUUGCUAUUGGGUCUCAGAUCUGCCAGAGACUUCAUCCAUGAGGAAGACCCGUGUUCCUCCUGCAGCACAACUUUAUUUGGUGAAGGUACAAAGGAAGCUCGAGGAAGGAAGCAUUUAGAGAGAUUUAGUUGAUCUAGGUUUUCUUAGUUGAAAGAGCCAUCUCAAACCCCCGUCUGUUUAAGAUUCCUCUCCUCAGAAUGUUCUGUUCCAGAGAACCAAAUAUAGAAAUAGGAGAAAUUGCUUAGCUCCAUUACAAAGAAUUUGUCUCUCUUUCUUUUUCCUCACAAACCACUGGAUGAAAGGAGCCCCCAUUUCCCCCUGCAGGGAUGCAGGCACACCACUUCCCGACACAGUUGAAGCCUAUCAGCCCUUUGCAGCGGUGACUCCUCCAACUCUUUCAGCCCGUGGUUCAGAGGGAGACAAUGAGGGCCUGUGCAAAGGAACGGAAGUCUCACUUGUAAAUUAUCACCAGCAGUGGGGUCUGCUUUAUAGGAUCUGCCUAAUGGGGACUCUGUUUUACUGGGAAUUACAUAAUCGAGCAAUCAGAAAGUAGUAUAAAAAAAGAUCUGCGAGCUAUAGCUUAGGAAGUCUGUACCUCAAAGCAGAAAACAGUUUUGUGUUUAUUGGUUUCAGGUCUGUUAGUAAUGCAUGUAGGAAAAUAUAUUUAAAGCCUGCUACCAAAAUAUUACUGUUAUUUAUUCAACAUUUGUAAUAAGGUCAUAUGACUGCUAAAUAUAUUUUUAAAGUUCCUUUCUGUUAAGAGAUUUCUAUCCUAAAAAAUCUUAACUGUUUUAUAGAAACAAUCUUGUGAGAUGAAAAAAAAUAAC
ensembl:antisense